rnacentral:rRNA from 1 species
AAUGAACGCUGGCGGCAUGGAUUAGGCAUGCAAGUCGAACGUGAAGCCCUGCUUCGGCAGGGUGGAAAGUGGCGAAAGGGUGAGUAACACGUGAGUAACCUGCCCCCGAAUUCGGAAUAGCCCCGGGAAACCGGGAUUAAUGCCGGAUGUGGUUUUCGGUCGCAUGAUCGAAGGACUAAAGGUCCGCCGUUCAGGGAUGGGCUCGCGUCCCAUUAGCUUGUUGGCGGGGUAACGGCCCACCAAGGCGAUGACGGGUAGGUGGUCUGAGAGGAUGGUCACCCACACUGGGACUGAGACACUGCCCAGACUCCUACGGGAGGCUGCAGUCGAGAAUCUUCCGCAAUGGGCGCAAGCCUGACGGAGCAAUGCCGCGUGAGGGAUGAAGGCCUUCGGGUUGUAAACCUCUGUCAGAGGGGACGAAAGCAAUGACGGUACCCUCAGAGGAAGCCACGGCUAACUACGUGCCAGCAGCCGCGGUAAUACGUAGGUGGCGAGCGUUAUUCGGAUUUACUGGGCGUAAAGGGUCCGCGGGGGGUUUGCCAAGUCCGAUGUGAAAUCCUGAGGCUCAACCUUGGAACUGCAUUGGAUACUGGCGGGCUAGAGUCUGCGAGGGGUGAGCGGAAUUCCUGGUGUAGCGGUGGAAUGCGUAGAUAUCAGGAAGAACACCGAUGGCGAAGGCGGCUCACUGGCGCAGCACUGACCCUCAUGGACGAAAGCGUGGGUAGCAAACAGGAUUAGAUACCCUGGUAGUCCACGCUGUAAACGUUGUGCGCUAGAUGUGGGAGGUCUGAUCCCUUCCGUGUCCAAGCUAACGCGAUAAGCGCACCGCCUGGGGACUACGGCCGCAAGGCUAAAACUCAAAGGAAUUGACGG